GGUCCAAAUAUGACAGAAGAAAGGAUUUAUUGCACUACUAGUCCUUCAAUUUUUAAAUUCUGACUUUCAAUGAUGUUUCAUUUUCAUCGGUGAACUUUCAACAACAUUUUGUUUCUAGCAUUUUCGUAAAAUAAAACCCAUUGUUUAUACCUCAAAACGUCACAUACACAGACAUAAAAUACAAAACACGAUAUGACUCAGAUACGACGACUUGGCAGCUUAAAAAAAGAUUAGGACAUAGAUACGAUAUAGACACCACUAUUAAUAUAUUUUUGGCGCUUCUAUUGGUAUCUUGAUGAGGAAAAUUCC
rnacentral:lncRNA from 1 species